rnacentral:sRNA from 1 species
ACAAUAAUAUUUUUUAAACUCAUAACAACAACAAGAAAAAAACUUAAAACUAAACAAAACAAUAUUUAAGAUACGGUGGAAGGGGAUGAAGAAAUGAGAGAAUGAGAGAAUGUAUAUAUUUAUAGGAUGAGAAGUGAUGGAAGUUACAAUUU